rnacentral:rRNA from 1 species
AGCGAACGUUUGCGGCGGGCCUAACACAUGCAAGUCGAACGAGAAUCCCCUUCGGGGGAGGAAAGUGGCGCACGGGUGCGUAACACGUGGGUAAUCAACCCUUUGGUCUGGGACAACCUCGGGAAACCGGGGCUAAUACCGGAUGAGUCGUCGCGGUCUUCGGACCGUGCCGAGAAAGGUCCGCAAGGAUCGCCAGAGGACGAGCUCGCGGCCCAUCAGCUAGAUGGUGAGGUAAUAGCUCACCAUGGCGAAGACGGGUAGCUGGUCUGAGAGGAUGAUCAGCCACACUGGAACUGAGACACGGUCCAGACUCCUACGGGAGGCAGCAGUGGGGAAUAUUGCGCAAUGGGCGAAAGCCUGACGCAGCCACGCCGUGUGAGCGGUGAAGGCCUUCGGGUCGUAAAGCUCUGUGGAGGGAGAAGAAUAAAGCCACUGAAGAGGUGGCCUUGACGGUAUCCCUUUAGCAAGCACCGGCUAACUCCGUGCCAGCAGCCGCGGUAAUAC